rnacentral:rRNA from 1 species
AACGAACGCUGGCGGCAGGCUGAACACAUGCAAGUCGAGCGCGUAGCAAUACGAGCGGCAGACGGGUGAGUAACGCGUGGGAAUCUACCCAUCUCUACGGAAUAACCCAGGGAAACUUGGACUAAUACCGUAUACGUCCGAGAGGAGAAAGAUUUAUCGGAGAUGGAUGAGCCCGCGUUGGAUUAGCUAGUUGGUGGGGUAAUGGCCUACCAAGGCGACGAUCCAUAGCUGGUCUGAGAGGAUGAUCAGCCACACUGGGACUGAGACACGGCCCAGACUCCUACGGGAGGCAGCAGUGGGGAAUAUUGGACAAUGGGGGCAACCCUGAUCCAGCCAUGCCGCGUGAGUGAUGAAGGCCCUAGGGUUGUAAAGCUCUUUCACCGGUGAAGAUAAUGACGGUAACCGGAGAAGAAGCCCCGGCUAACUUCGUGCCAGCAGCCGCCGUAAAAC